rnacentral:sRNA from 1 species
AAAUCGGCUGCGUUCCUCUCGGAACGCGCCGCAGAAGGGGUCCUGGUGACGAGUCCCGCGUUCUCUCCUUGAAUCCACUCGCCAGCCCGCCGCCCUCUGCCGCCGCACCCUGCACACCCGCCCCUCUCCUGUGCCAGGAACUUGCUACUACCAGCACCAUGCCCUACCAAUAUCCAGCACUGACCCCGGAGCAGAAGAAGGAGCUGUCUGACAUCGCUCACCGCAUCGUGGCACCUGGCAAGGGCAUCCUGGCUGCAGAUGAGUCCACUGGGAGCAUUGCCAAGCGGCUGCAGUCCAUUGGCACCGAGAACACCGAGGAGAACCGGCGCUUCUACCGCCAGCUGCUGCUGACAGCUGACGACCGCGUGAACCCCUGCAUUGGGGGUGUCAUCCUCUUCCAUGAGACACUCUACCAGAAGGCGGAUGAUGGGCGUCCCUUCCCCCAAGUUAUCAAAUCCAAGGGCGGUGUUGUGGGCAUCAAGGUAAGGGGAGGGCCUCAGGACGUGAGGCGCCCGCCACCACCCAGCUAAUUUUUUUUUGUAUUUUUAGUAGAG